UAAUGGCCCACCAAGGCGACGAUGCGUAGCCGACCUGAGAGGGUGAACGGCCACACUGGGACUGAGACACGGCCCAGACUCCUACGGGAGGCAGCAGUAGGGAAUCUUCCGCAAUGGACGCAAGUCUGACGGAGCAACGCCGCGUGAGUGUUGAAGGUUUUCGGAUCGUAAAGCUCUGUUGCCAGGGAAGAAUGUCCGGUAGAGUAACUGCUAUCGGAGUGACGGUACCUGAGAAGAAAGCCCCGGCUAACUACGUGCCAGCAGCCGCGGUAAUACGUAGGGGGCAAGCGUUGUCCGGAAUUAUUGGGCGUAAAGCGCGCGCAGGCGGCUAUUUAAGUCUGGUGUUUAAACCAUGAGCUCAACCUGAGGUCGCAUUGGAAACUGGGUAGCUUGAGUACAGAAGAGGAAAGUGGAAUUCCACGUGUAGCGGUGAAAUG
rnacentral:rRNA from 1 species